rnacentral:rRNA from 1 species
UUCCAGACUCCUACGGGAGGCAGCAGUGAGGAAUAUUGGUCAAUGGGCUUACGCCUGAACCAGCCAAGUCGCGUGAGGGAAGAAUGUCCUAAGGAUUGUAAACCUCUUUUGUCGGGGAGCAAAAAGGCUCUGCGGAGUCGUAUUGAGAGUACCCGAAGAAAAAGCAUCGGCUAACUCCGUGCCAGCAGCCGCGGUAAUACGGAGGAUGCGAGCGUUAUCCGGAUUUAUUGGGUUUAAAGGGUGCGCAGGCGGAGGUGCAAGUCAGCGGUCAAAUUGCGGGGCUCAACCCCGUACUGCCGUUGAAACUGCAUCCCUUGAGUGCGCGAGAAGUAUGCGGAAUGCGUGGUGUAGCGGUGAAAUGCAUAGAUAUCACGCAGAACUCCGAUUGCGAAGGCAGCAUACCGGCGCGCAACUGACGCUCAUGCACGAAAGCGUGGGUAUCGAACAGGAUUAGAUACCCCGGUA